ensembl:snRNA U1 U1 spliceosomal RNA
ACACAUAACUAGCAGGGGAGAUGCCAUGAUCACAUAAAUGACUUUUUCAGAGCAAGACUUACGCCUUACAUUCCAGACAUGCUGACCCUUAUGAUUUCCUCAGAUUUGAAAAACUUGACUGUUUAAUUUUUAUUAGUAAGGGACUCCAUU